CAUGUUAUCAUGUUACCUAUUAUCAUUUUUGUUAUUGUUGCCUGUUGGCUUUUGGCCUAUGCAUUUUAAUAUUUUUAUUCUUUAGUAGGUAUGUUAUAGUUGUUAUACGUAUGCCUAAUGCUCUGUAUUGCAGUAUCCAGUCUUGAAUAAGUUGAAAAUGAAGUAAAUAAUACAAGCAAAAAUGAUCAUAGCUGUACUGUUAAGGAAGAUAAUCUAUCUAAUCCAGGCGAUCUAAUUUUAUCAAAUAACAACAGUACCGAAACUAGUAAAACUCAAUUGUCUACAGAAUCUAAAGAAAUAAAUAAUACACCAACACCAUGUUUGUCCAUGCACGAAGAUAACAAUCUUCUUAAAAAAUGUAUCAUUCCCGAAAAUGACCCUGCCAAUUGGAUGAAAAAUCAAGAAACGAUAGAUUAUAUAUCAAUAAAUGGAUUCAAUCAAAAUUUGGAGAACAAUAAUUUCCAUAAAUCAAAAAGAACUUAUAAUCGAAUAAUUGGUGGUGUUAGACAUACUCGUUUUCGAUAUUUGUCAAAAAGUUUUUUUGUAUCUACUCUUGUUAAUGGUGAAAAAAUUAACCGAACCUUUUUGGUUUACUCAGAAAGUAAAGGAUCAAU